rnacentral:rRNA from 1 species
UGGGGAAUAUUGGACAAUGGGCGCAAGCCUGAUCCAGCAAUGCCGCGUGGAUGAAGAAGGUUUUCGGAUUGUAAAGUCCUUUCGGCGGGGACGAUGAUGACGGUACCCGCAGAAGAAGCCCCGGCUAACUUCGUGCCAGCAGCCGCGGUAAUACGAAGGGGGCUAGCGUUGCUCGGAAUGACUGGGCGUAAAGGGCGCGUAGGCGGAAUGCUUUGUCGGAUGUGAAAUUCCAGGGCUUAACCUUGGGGCUGCAUUCGAGACGGGUAUUCUAGAGUGGAGAAGAGGGUCGUGGAAUUCCCAGUGUAGAGGUGAAAUUCGUAGAUAUUGGGAAGAACACCGGUGGCGAAGGCGGCGACCUGGUCUUUGACUGACGCUGAGGCGCGAAAGCGUGGGGAGCAAA